GAUCAUGGCUCAGAACGAACGCUGGUGGCGUGUCUUAUACAUGCAAGUCGAGCGAGGCAGCAAUGCCUAGCGGCGAACGGGUGAGUAACGCGUAAGCAAUCUGCCCCAUAUCAGGAAAUACCCGUGCCAACGCGCGGUUAAUGUCCAGGAGCGUGGCUUCCCGCAUGGGAAGUUGACAAGAGAUUUAUCGGUAUGGGAUGAGCUUGCGUCCGAUUAGCUAGUUGGCGGGGCAACGGCCCACCAAGGCGACGAUCGGUAGCCGGCCUGAGAGGGUGAUCGGCCACAUUGGGACUGAGAUACGGCCCAGACUCCUACGGGAGGCAGCAGUAGGGAAUAUUGCACAAUGGGGGAAACCCUGAUGCAGCAACGCCACGUGUGGGAAGAAGCAUUUCGGUGUGUAAACCACUGUCGUGAGGGAAUAAGGCAUUGUUUCGGCGAUGUUGAAUGUACCUCGAAAGGAAGCACCGGCAAACUUCGUGCCAGCCGCCGC
rnacentral:rRNA from 1 species